GUAUAAAAUGAGAAUUCAGGUGUCUGAAAGACUUAAAAUGGGAAUCCGGUAAGGAAACCGGAACUGUCCUCGCAACUGUGAGUGCCGACGAAAAGGUGGAUCCACUGUGGAUAACGGGAAGGAGCCUUGGAAGGAUGACGCACGAGUCAGUAGACCUGCCUGAUCUCGCGUUUCAAU
rnacentral:ncRNA from 2 species